UUCUUCUAAAAGAAUGGUGUCUUAAACAUUUACUGAUACAUCAUUCUUCUAUUUCAGUUCAAGGACUCCAUCCUGGAUAAAGCAAUUCACAGUCAACAUACCAAGGACUAGGACUUGGUAAUAGCAUAAAGUAUAAGAGGAGAGGACGGCAAUGGCCAGCUUAUAAAGGCCUUGGUAAAAAAAGAACCUGCAUUUCUGCCUCUUUUCGGUAGUGGUGGCAAUGACACAAUAAGAUGUCCCCAAAAUCUGUCCAAGAAGCAGAAAUGAACAAAUAUUUUUGGAAUGGAGAUCCCAUUGGUGCUACUUUCAAUAUACAGUGGAUCCUCAAGUUUCGACUGGCCUGACUUAUGAUCAUCUGCCUCUUGUUAUCUAUAGUGUGUACCCAGAAGGAAAUGAGCCCCUGCCCUGGAAAAAAGCAUUUAAAAAUCUACAAACAUCACAAAGGUGGUCACCAAAGAAUUGAGAUAGUAGGGACUGAACUCAGACCAUCUGGCUCUAGAUUCAACAACUUCACCUCCAAACCAUUAUACUUAAACAUGAUUGAAAACUCCACCAAUUCAGCAUGGAAAGCCUUAAGUACACUGAGCAAAAUGAAAUGAAAAAUAAAGCAAUAGUAACUUACCAGUUUUUAUUUGGUAACUCUAUACAGCAACACGUUUAGAUAUACCUUAUUCAUGAUAAAAUCUGCGGGAUAUUUCAUUGCAUGUACAAACCAUAAAUAAAAUAAUAUCAUUCUUCUAUUGCUGGGAGCAUAUUUUGUGCAAUCUACACCUGUCAGUAAACUGCUUGGUCAACAAGUCUGAAUACUUAAAGCUUUGGUACACAUCGAUAAAUUAUCAUUCCUUCCAAAUUACCAAUUUAUACAUAACAAGCAGUAGCAAGAAUCUCUCUUAACCACCCUCAGCUAAAUUAUCAAGAAUGGGCAUCAUUAAACUUCAAUUUUCGUUCAUAUGACUUGUGAAUAAUUACUUCCAAAGGUUUAAAUUUAUAUUUUAAGAAAUAUGAAGUUUAUUAAUUAUCCAUAGCUGUGUAACAAUAGAUCACCACACUUAGCAGCUUAAAACAUUCAUUAUCUCAGUCUGUGGAAAUAGGUAGAGGAAAACAAGUGUAGGUGAGCUGGGAGCUUCUGAUCAGUGCCUGGUCUCCACUGCCAUUGUGGGCCGCAUUCGCAUAAGGUUCCACUAGGGCAGGAUCUGCUCUGAAGCUCACCGUGGCUCCUGGCAACUCUGUUUCUGGUCACACCAGUGUCUCCGUAGCCUGCUGAUGUCCUCAUGACAUGGCAGCUGGUGAUAAAUGAGAGGGAAAGUGAGAAUUAGAGCAAAGGAUAGGGAUGAAGCCACGGCCAUCAUUUUAUCAUUUAUCAUUUUAUUAAUCAUUUUAGGCAUUUUCUACUUGUCUGACUAGUCACUAGUUCCAUCCCACCCUCCGGGGAAGAAGAAUGUGCAGGGAAGCGUAUCAUCAGGGCCCUCCCGGAAGCUUUGUAUCAUCAUCUGACAGAAGCGGAGUAACUUUGUAAUGUGCUCGGCUUUGUGAGGUGUGUCCAUAUAGACUCUUUCAGAAUGCUCACACUUUCAGUUGAAUUUUUUAUGUUUUCUGAGUUUAUUGUCAUAUUCAGGCC
ensembl:lincRNA